rnacentral:rRNA from 1 species
UACGGGGGGGGCAAGCGUUGUUCGGAUUCAUUGGGCGUAAAGGGUGCGUAGGCGGCGCGGUAAGUCGGGUGUGAAAUCUCGGGGCUUAACUCCGAAACUGCAUUCGAUACUGCCGUGCUUGAGGACUGGAGAGGAGACUGGAAUUUACGGUGUAGCGGUGAAAUGCGUAGAUAUCGUAAGGAAGACCAGUGGCGAAGGCGGGUCUCUGGACAGUUCCUGACGCUGAGGCACGAAGGCCAGGGGAGCAAACGGG